ACGCCUCUGUAAACAAUUUCUACGUAAUGCUAAUUGUAAAGUAAAUCAAUUUCGUCGGGUUCAAAUCAAGAGAUUCGCAUGUGUCAUCCAAUAUAUUAAUAUUCUCAAAAGGAUAGAUGAUAGAAAGAAGAGGAGAGGGUGGUACAGUAGGAUGGUGGUCGGAGGGAGGGAAGGGAGUUCAUCGCCCAGCUUUCCAAUUAACCUACCCUAAAAUUGCCUUACUCUCAUUAAUCUUCUUACUUUUUUUAUCCCACAAACUUGUUUAUAUUUAUACUUAUCCCAAGUUACAAGGCAGCGGUACAUGACGUCUCACGGUUUACCCAUGAGGAAUGUCUUCCAAGUUCUCUUUUAGUAUUCUGGUAACAAGACCGUGGGCUCUUAAACGGUACUAGGCUCGUUGAAAGAGAGAAAGAAAAAGAGGAGAAAAAAUUAAAUUGGACGUCUUGAGAUGGGUAAUAAAUAUUUCGAAAAAAAAAAAUAAAGAAGAAAAAGAACUUCGUAGGUAACGUUUACCGACUACUAAUUGUCAGAUGGGGAACGUAAUUGUCGCGUUUCUCGCAUGUUUCUCGAGAACUUCGAACUCGGGCCAUGUUCGAAAGACUCGACGGAGUCAUCCACGGCUAAAAUCGUACUGUCUUUGAUUCGGUCGAGUUGGCGAAUUGCGUUUCGUACAGAGUUUAAAAUCUCUUCUCUCAUGGUCGAUAUCAAAGAAGAAGAAGAAGAAGAAGAGGAGAAGAAGAAAGAGGAGAAGAAGAAGGAGGAGAACUUUCUCUGUGAAGAUACUCGCAAGAGGAAAGAAACGUUUGGCUCAUUUGUCGUCGGGUUUCUGACUCGGUUGCAUUGACGAACGAGCUCUAAGAAGAAGGAGAAGAAGAAGAAAAGGAGAAGGAGAAGGAGGAAGUAAGAAAAGGGUUGCCGAGGGGACCAAACUGAGAUGAGAUAAACGGCCGCAAAAAGAGACUGGAGACGAAUGAAAGAAACCAAAAAAAGA